UGCUCAACUAUGCCAAGAGGGUAUCACUCGCUCUGCAAGCCAAGCAGCAGUCAACCUCUCUGAGCUGAGUCUUUGUUUUCAGGUCAUUCUGCAUGAUGACAGCUAGAAUGUUUACAGGUGUUUAUGAAUUGUAGCUGUUCUGAAAGUAUGUUGAAUGACAUUUAAGCAAGUUAGCAACAUAGUGUGACACAUGAAAAUGAAUGUCCCUCACCACCACCCUUACCAGCUUGUGAGCUUUUCCAUUGCUGGGUAGCAAAGAGAGAGAGAACCUGUUUAAUUUGCUUAGCUGUCCUGAUUGUUCUAAAGUAAGAUAAAAAGCCUCUAAUGGACCUGGGGAGAGUGUUGCGUGCGAGGCCCUUUUCAUUACGCUGCUUCAAGGGUGUACAUGCGCUGGAAGCCAGAGAUGGACUACCGCUGUGUCUUAGGAAAUCUUACAUCAAAGACAUCUUACUCACAAAGCUUUGGUCACUUUCUGACUGAUUGGGAAUCCGUCUGUUGUGUUGUGUGGGACAGGCCACACACAGCACGACUCUGAAAGUGUGACUCUUGGUGAGAUACACUACAGAAACUGAAAGACAAGAUAACCUGAUUGCCUUCACAUCAAAGCCCAGGUGGGAAGGAAGAGACGGAGGACAGGGUGAGAAAAGAGUCUGUGUGACAUUAUUGUUCUGGGUUUAACCUCAGCCGACCACCUAAUUCGCUACUUCCCUUCACAGAGCUCUGUGGAAGAACAUAUAUCCCCUGUAUAUAGCCUCGCUACUGUUAUUUUAUUGUUGGUCUUUAAUUAUUUUGUAUUUAUUUUUUUACUUCAGUUUAUUUUUGUAAAUACUUUCUUAACACUUAUUUUUUGUAAAACUGCAUUGUUGGUGACUCAGUGGCUAAGAACCCUUCUAUCCGGUUGAGUAGAUUGUAAAUAAAACACCUUGUUGUCUCCCUAAUGGCACCCCACUAUUCCCCAUUAUUCUGUCUGAACAACAAAUAACUGCACAGUAAAUCUGUCAUCAUCAUUAGAAUCACUUAGAAUCAAUAUGGCUCCUCUUACGGUCAAUACUCAAACCUG
rnacentral:lncRNA from 1 species